rnacentral:rRNA from 1 species
UACGAAGGGGGCUAGCGUUGCUCGGAAUCACUGGGCGUAAAGCGCACGUAGGCGGACUCUUAAGUCGGUGGUGAAAUCCUGGAGCUCAACUCCAGAACUGCCUUCGAUACUGAGAGUCUUGAGUCCGGGAGAGGUGAGUGGAACUGCGAGUGUAGAGGUGAAAUUCGUAGAUAUUCGCAAGAACACCGGUGGCGAAGGCGGCAUCCUGGACCGGUAUUGACGCUGAGGCGCGAAAGCUAGGGGAGCAAACGGG